CAGGCGUCCAAUCAUAGCAGAGGGCAAGAGAAGACAGGUGGACUUGGAGUGUGGAGGACAGCACCGAGACAGGUGCUUUCUAUGGCUGUCGCUCUGCUGGGUCUCCCUCCCCCCACCCGGCCCGGACCCCAUUGGACCCCCCUUGUGCUUGUGGGCCCCUGCAGGCCGUCUGGUUUGGCGCCUUGGCGGUACCUUUUGGGGGUCUGCCCUCCUUGUGAAAAUGUCCAUCCAGGGGUCCUUCUGUGGAUUUAAGUCAACUCUGGUCUAGACACAAUUAAGUUUACACGCUUAGCACCUCAACUUCCUCCGAAGAAGACCCCAAUAUGGGUUGAAACGCGUCAGAAUUUACGUGACUUGCAUGUUAACCAUUCAUGUUAAUUGAUGUCAUGUAUUUUGCUGCAUUCUCCUUGUGUAACCGUUUUUUAGUGUAUACUAUACC